AGUGAACGCUGGCGGUAUGCCUAAUACAUGCAAGUCGAACGGCAGCACAGUAAGAUCUUUCCUCUACCGGUGGCGAGUGGCGGACGGGUAAGGAAUACAUCGGAAUCUACUUUUACUUGGGGGACAACGUAGAGAAACUUACGCUAAUACCUCAUACGAUCUACGGGUUAAAUCAGUAGUUCUUCGGACUUUUCGCGUUACAUUUAGAUGAUGUCGGAUUAGCUAGUUGGCUGGGUAAAGGCCCACCAAGGCGACGAUCCGUAGCUGGUCUGAGAGGAUGAUCAGCCACACUGGAACUGAGACACGGUCCAGACUCCUACGGGAGGCAGCAGUGGGGAAUAUUGGACAAUGGGCGCAAGCUUGAUCCAGCAAUACCGCGUGAGUGAAGAAGGUCUUCGGGUUGUAAAGCCCUUUUGUUGGGAAAGAAAAACAGUAUGUUAAUACCUCGAUGUUCUGACGGUACCUAAAGAAUAAGCAACGGCUAACUUCGUG
rnacentral:rRNA from 1 species